AGAGUUGAUCCUGGCUAGGACGAACGCUGGCGGCGUGCUUAACACAUGCAAGUCGAACGGGCAUAAUGAAAGCUUGCUUUGAUUAUGUUAGUGGCGGACGGGUGAGUAACGCGUGAGCAACUUGCCUUGGACAGUGGAAUAACACAGGGAAACUUGUGCUAAUACCGCAUGAAGUGCGAGGAAGGCAUCUUUCUUGUACCAAAGGAAGCAAUUCCGGUCUGAGAUGGGCUCGCGUCCGAUUAGAUAGUUGGUGAGGUAACGGCCCACCAAGUCGACGAUCGGUAGCCGGACUGAGAGGUUGGCCGGCCACAUUGGGACUGAGACACGGCCCAGACUCCUACGGGAGGCAGCAGUGGGGAAUAUUAGGCAAUGGGGGGCCAACCCUGACCUAGCAACGCCGCGUGAAGGAUGAAGGUUUUCGGAUUGUAAACUUCUUUGGCAGGGGACGAUAAUGACGGUACCCUGAGAACAAGCCACGGCUAACUACGUGCCAGCCGCCGC
rnacentral:rRNA from 1 species